CGCACAUUGCGCCCUCUGGUAUUCCGGAGGGCAUGCCUGUUCGAGCGUCAUUUCAACCCUCAAGCCUGGCUUGGUGAUGGGGCACUGCUUCGAAAGGAGCAGGCCCUGAAAUCUAGUGGCGAGCUCGCCAGGACCCCGAGCGCAGUAGUUAAACCCUCGCUCUGGAAGGCCCUGGCGGUGCCCUGCCGUUAAACCCCCAACUCUUGAAAAUUUGACCUCGGAUCAGGUAGGAAUACCCGCUGAACUUAA
rnacentral:misc_RNA from 1 species